rnacentral:rRNA from 1 species
UACAGAGGGUGCAAGCGUUGUUCGGAAUUAUUGGGCGUAAAGCGCGUGUAGGCGGCUUGGCAAGUCGGGUGUGAAAUCCCUCAGCUCAACUGAGGAAGUGCGCCCGAAACUGCUUCGCUUGAGUGCCAGAGAGGAUGGCGGAAUUCCCCAAGUAGAGGUGAAAUGCGUAGAUAUUGGGAGGAACACCAGUGGCGAAGGCGGCUACCUGGACCGGUUCUGACGCUGAGGCGCGAAAGCGUGGGUAGCAAACAGG